AUGCGUCUGAAUUCAUCCGAGUUUCUAAAUAGUCUAACAUUUUUUGGAAUACCAGACCAUGAACUGAGGCUGAAAGUAGGAUUACCAGUAAUGCUUACGACUAUGAGUAACUUCAAUCAAAGUGCAGGACUUUGCAAUGGGACAAGACUAACAAUAACACAGCUAGAGAAGCGUUUCAUCGAAGGCCAGGUCAUAACAGGUACUAACAUUGGCGACAAAGUUUACAUCCCACGAAUUAUUAUGUCACCAAGUGAUUCAGAAUGGCCUUUCAUUCUGAAAAGGAGACAAUACCCAAUAUCAGUGUGCUUUGCUAUGACUAUAAACAAACGUCAGGGGCAAUCUCUCAAAAAGGUUGGACUCUACUUACAAAGGCAAGUGUUCACACAGCUCUAUGUUGCAAUGUCAAGGGUUACCAGCAGAAAUGGAUUGCGGAUACUCAUACCAGAUGAAGAGCGUCGAUCCGACAAGGUUGCAGAAAACAUUGUUUUCAAGGAUAUAUUAUAG
rnacentral:rRNA from 1 species